rnacentral:rRNA from 1 species
AUUCUGGCUCAGGAUGAACGCUGGCGGCGUGCUUAACACAUGCAAGUCGAACGGGAUCCCAGGAGCUUGCUCCUGGGUGAGAGUGGCGAACGGGUGAGUAAUGCGUGACCGACCUGCCCCAUACACCGGAAUAGCUCCUGGAAACGGGUGGUAAUGCCGGAUGCUCCGACUCCUCGCAUGGGGUGUCGGGAAAGAUUUCAUCGGUAUGGGAUGGGGUCGCGUCCUAUCAGGUAGUCGGCGGGGUAACGGCCCACCGAGCCUACGACGGGUAGCCGGCCUGAGAGGGCGACCGGCCACAUUGGGACUGAGAUACGGCCCAGACUCCUACGGGAGGCAGCAGUGGGGAAUAUUGCACAAUGGGCGCAAGCCUGAUGCAGCGACGCCGCGUGAGGGAUGGAGGCCUUCGGGUUGUAAACCUCUUUUAUCGGGGAGCAAGCGAGAGUGAGUUUACCCGUUGAAUAAGCACCGGCUAACUACGUGCCAGCAGCCGCGGUAAUACGUAGGGUGCAAGCGUUAUCCGGAAUUAUUGGGCGUAAAGGGCUCGUAGGCGGUUCGUCGCGUCCGGUGUGAAAGUCCAUCGCUUAACGGUGGAUCCGCGCCGGGUACGGGCGGGCUUGAGUGCGGUAGGGGAGACUGGAAUUCCCGGUGUAACGGUGGAAUGUGUAGAUAUCGGGAAGAACACCAAUGGCGAAGGCAGGUCUCUGGGCCGUCACUGACGCUGAGGAGCGAAAGCGUGGGGAGCGAACAGGAUUAGAUACCCUGGUAGUCCACGCCGUAAACGGUGGAUGCUGGAUGUGGGGACCAUUCCACGGUCUCCGUGUCGGAGCCAACGCGUUAAGCAUCCCGCCUGGGGAGUACGGCCGCAAGGCUAAAACUCAAAGAAAUUGACGGGGGCCCGCACAAGCGGCGGAGCAUGCGGAUUAAUUCGAUGCAACGCGAAGAACCUUACCUGGGCUUGACAUGUUCCCGACAGCCGUAGAGAUACGGCCUCCCUUCGGGGCGGGUUCACAGGUGGUGCAUGGUCGUCGUCAGCUCGUGUCGUGAGAUGUUGGGUUAAGUCCCGCAACGAGCGCAACCCU